GAUGAACGCUGGCGGCGUGCCUAAUACAUGCAAGUCGAGCGAACGGACGAGAAGCUUGCUUCUCUGAUGUUAGCGGCGGACGGGUGAGUAACACGUGUAUAACCUACCUAUAAGACUGGGAUAACUUCGGGAAACCGGAGCUAAUACCGUAUGAUAUUUUGAACCGCAUGGUUCAAAAGUGAAAGACGGUCUUUCUGUCACUUAUAGAUGGAUCCUCGCUGCAUUAGCUAGUUGGUAAGGUAACGGCUUACCAAGGCAACGAUGCAUAGCCGACCUGAGAGGGUGAUCGGACAAAAUGGAAGUGAGACACGGACAAGACGACGACGGGAGGCAGCAGUAGGGAAUCGUACGAAAUGGGCGAAAGCAUGACGGAGCAAAGCCGAGUGAGUGAUGAAGGUAUUAGGAUCGUAAAACUCUGUUAUUAGGGAAGAAAAAAUGUGUAAGUAAAUGUGCACAGCGUGACGGUAACGAAUCAGAAAGCAACGGCUAACUACGUG
rnacentral:rRNA from 1 species